rnacentral:rRNA from 1 species
CCGGUUGAUCCUGCCAGAGGUUACUGCUAUCGAGAUUCGACUAAGCCAUGCGAGUUGAAUGUUCUUCGUGAACAUGGCGGACUGCUCAGUAACACGUGGACAACCUACCCUUGGGUCUGGCAUAAUCCUGGGAAACUGGGGAUAAUUCCGGAUAGGCCACAGAUGCUGGAAUGCGCUGUGGCCGAAAGCUCCGGCGCCCAAGGAUGGGUCUGCGGCCUAUCAGGGUUGUAGUGGGUGUAAUGUACCUACUAGCCUACGACGGGUACGGGUUGUGAGAGCAAGAGCCCGGAGAUGGAUUCUGAGACACGAAUCCAGGCCCUACGGGGUGCAGCAGGCGCGAAAACUUUACAAUGCGGGAAACCGUGAUAAGGGAAUCUCGAGUGCCAGCAUAUAAUGUUGGCUGUCCAGAUGCCUAAAAAGCAUCUGUUAGCAAGGGCCGGGCAAGACCGGUGCCAGCAGCCGCGGUAAUUC